UAUAAUAAUCAUGCUCGUCGUGAUGGGCUCCAGCAUGCUAGACUACUGAUUCGGUUUUGCAGGUGCAUACCCAUAGCGGACCUCACCUUAUCCGAGACCCGUGAUGAUUGUGCGCACGUAGAAGGCGGAAACAGGGAAGUGCUGCUCGACAUUACCUCAGCCUACAUCAUCGGAAAACAACAACUUUAUUUUGGCUUUGGAGUCUGGGGAGGUUCAUCGCCACAGCCCUGUAUGCGACAGCCCUGUAUGGCAUCAUCGAAAAAAAUUUGCAGCGCAUAUUUGUAUCAGUCAUCGUGUAACAAUAUCCAUUUAUGAGGGAAGGUCGUGGACACUCAGUAGAAGAUGAACCACCACUGUCCUAGGUACACAGCAGUUACACCACAUCAGUAUGGAUACAUCUUAAACCUCAA